AACGAACGCUGGCGGCAUGCCUAACACAUGCAAGUCGAACGAGACCUCCGGGUGUAGUGGCGCACGGGGGCGUAACGCGUGGGAACCUGCCCUUAGGCUCGGAAUAACUCCCCGACGGGGGUGCUAAUACCGGGUAAUGUCUUCGGACCAAAGAUUUAUCGCCUUUGGAUGGGCCGGCGUUGGAUUAGCUAGUUGGUAGGGUAAAAGCCUACCAAGGCGACGAUCCUUAGCUGGUCUGAGAGGAUGAUCAGCCACACUGGGACUGGGACACGGCCCAGACUCCUACGGGAGGCAGCAGUGGGGAAUAUUGGACAAUGGGCGAAAGCCUGAUCCAGCAAUGCUGCGUGAGUGAUGAAGGCCUUAGGGUUGUAAAGCUCUUUUACCCGGGAUGAUAAUGACAGUACCGGGAGAAUAAGCACCGGCUAACUCCGUG
rnacentral:rRNA from 1 species